AGCACUCAACAGGACAUGUAAAGUCACUGUCCCUGCCCUGGAGACUCAGAAUCUGUCACCGUCACGCUGGGGUGAGGAGGAAAUUGCAGUGUUGAGGUUUCUUGCUUCUUCCUCACUGAGAGAGAAAAACCAACUGUCAACAAACCCCAAACCAAUGAACCCGAUGGUGCUGGGAGGCUACUGGGUGGCAGGCUGCGUGCGUGUGGCAGCAAGGGUCAUGAGCUAGGCCAGGCGCAGAAAGCCAGGUGACAAAGGCCGGAGGACAAGGAGACGAGGAAGGCGGAGAAGAGGGACGCUUGAAGGUCAGAGAGAUGAGGAAACUGAGGCCCUGCAAGGUUAAUGGCUUGACUAAACAGCAAGUGUUCAGGUCUGUUGACUCCGAAGCUGGUGCUCCUAACCACCCCGCUUGCAGAGGGGCUGCAAAGCCCUCCGUAUCUGGUCUGGAUGCCUGAGAAGUCGCUUCGCCAUGAGGCCACAGGGAUGGAGGGUCUGGCACAGAAACCGAAGAAAGAGUAUGCCAAGGUGCCUGCGUGGCUCAGUUGGUGAAGCAUCUACCUUCGGCUCAGGUCAUGAUCCCAGGAUCCUGGGAUGGAGCCCUGCAUCGGGCUCCGUGCUCAGCGGGCAGCCUGCUUCUCCCUCUCCCUCU